rnacentral:lncRNA from 1 species
CUCUGCUUUGCUGCUGCAGAGAGGCCUUCACAAUAUUUCUAGUAAUCUUAAGCCUCUGGGAGGUAUGUGAGAAGAAAUACCAAAGGAGCAGUGAAGAAGGAAAGAGGUGAGAGGAGGCUGCUCAGAAAGGCAAGGCUGCUGUGUAAACAAUCUUGGAGGUUCAAUCCUACACAUGGUGAGAUUUUGAAAAUCAGCCUCUCCUUGAAAGGAAAAUCACAGGGCGAUAAGGAUCCAGCAGAACGGGAUGACGGUGAAUCCUGCCAGUGUGCUGUGAAUGUGAAGCAGGAGGGACCGGCAGUUUGUGUGCAGGAGGGAAAGCGAACAGGUCCAGGGCCCCCGGAUUAGCAGCCCAGGGAAAGGUAAGGGGCGAGUGGGAGCAGGGCUUGCUAGAAUCCGACCCUGUGCCAAUGGGGUGUUU